CAGCAGCAGCAGAGACGUCCACAGAGUCGACAGCAACCAGUCAGACUGCAGGUCACAUGACGUCCACAGAAAGCCACCAGACGUCCUCGUCCAGCGGCGGCGGCAGCGUCGAGGAGGACAGCAGUGUGAUUCUGGGUUCUGUGGUUCUGGUGUGUAUUCUGUGUCUGUUCGUGGAUCUGCUCACCGCCGGCGGACUCGUC